rnacentral:lncRNA from 1 species
AUGCUGGAUCUUUAACCCACUGAGUGAGGCCAGGGAUCAAACCCGUAACCUCAUGGUUCCUAGUCGGAUUUGUUUCUGCUGCGCCACAGUGGGAACUCCUAUUUCUGUUUCAUAGAUAGGUUCAUCUGUGCCAUAUUUCAGAUUCCAAUAGAAGUGAUAUUAUAUGGAAUUGGUCUUUUUCUUUCUCAUUGACUUCACUCUUUCAUAUUGUUGGUUUUAAGUGUUCUUGGUAUAUUUUGGAUAACAGUUCUUUAUCAGAUGUAUCUUUUGCAAAUAUAUCAUCUCAGUCUGUAGCUUAUCUUUUUCUUUUUUCUUUUUCUUUUUUUUGGCUGAGCCUACAGCAUGAACCUCCACAUGCCACAGGUGUGGCCCUGAAAAGACCAAACAACAGCCAAAAAAAGGAGGAAAAAAAAGGAAAAAGAAGCAGGUAACAUUAACUUUCAUAACAUUUUAAUUUUAUACAUAUAAAAUAUUAUUUCAUCAGGUGACCAAUAUAAACAAAUUAUUAGUGUGAUAUUUUACAUCCUUUACAAAAGUUUUUUACAUAUUUUACAUACACAUACUAUAUAUUUUUGAGACCCCGUGUGUAUGUUGCCUUCAGAAGCACAUCUCAGUUCAGACCAACCACAUUUCAAGUGCUCAGUGGAAACUUGUGGCUGCGUGUUGGACAACACAGAGGCAGAGCUUUCUGAGCAAAAGAACUGAACAAAUUCUUGAGUUUGAGGCACCCUUAGGAAGCAAGUGUGACCAGAAGGAAGUAAAAGAGGGUAGGACUGAUAAUAAGUGAAGUCAAAGAGAGAGCCAGGGCCUAGUGUUUUGGAUUUAAUUUGGCUUUUAUUCUAAACAUGAUGGAAAACUAUUGGACACUUUUAAGGCAAGAAAUGAUUUGCUCUAAUUUUUAAAAGAUGCUUUGGGGAGGUCCUGUCAUGGCUCAGUGGUUAACGAAUCCGACUAGGAAACAUGAGGUUGUGGGUUCAAUCCCUGGCCUUGCUCAGUGGGUUAAGGAUCCGGUGUUGCCGUGAGCUGUGGUGUAGGUCCCAGACGUGGCUUGGAUUCUGCGUUGCUGUGGCUGUGGUGUAGUCUGGCAGCUAUAGCUCUGAUUAGACCCCUAGCCUGGGAACCUCCAUACGCCACAGGAGCGGCCCCCAAAAAGGCAAAAAGACAAAAAAAAUAAAAGAUACUUUGGAGAGUCCUGUCAUGGCUCAGCAGGUUAAGGACCCCGUGUCGUCUCCAUGAGGAUGCAGGUUCCAUCCCUGACCUCGCUCAGUGGGUUAAGCAUCUGGUGUUGCCACAAGCUGCCAUGUAGGUCACAGAUGAGGCUUGGAUCUUGUAUGGCUGUGG